GAUGAACGCUGGCGGCGUGCCUAAUACAUGCAAGUAGAACGCUAAAGGAGGAGCUUGCUCGUCUGGAUGAGUUGCGAACGGGUGAGUAACGCGUAGGUGACCUGCCUUGUAGCGGGGGAUAACUCUGGGAAACGAUAUCUAAUACCGCAUGGCAAGAGGGAUUGGAUGAUAACUUGGUAAGAUUGGCAACUGCGCCACUACCAGGUGGCCUUGCGUUGUGUUAGCUAGUUAGUGGGGUAACGGCUCGUCAAGGCGACGUUACAUAGCAGAACUGAGAGGGUGAUUGGCCACCCUGGGAGUGAGAACCGGCACAGACUCCCACGGGAGGCAGCCGUAGGGCAUCUUCGGCCAGGGAUGGAAGUCUGACCGCGCAACGCCGAGUGAGGGAAGAAGGUUUUCGGGUCGUAAAGCUCGGUUGUAAGAGAAGAACGAGUGUGAGCGUGGAAAGUUCACCCUGUGACGGUACCUUAACAGAAAGGGACGGCUAACUACGUG
rnacentral:rRNA from 1 species